rnacentral:rRNA from 1 species
GCGGGCUGGAACCUCUCGGGGUUACAGCCUUGCUGAAUUAUUCACCCUUGUCUUUUGCGUACUUCUUGUUUCCUUGGUGGGUUCGCCCACCACUAGGACAAACAUAAACCUUUUGUAAUUGCAAUCAGCGUCAGUAACAAAUUAAUAAUUACAACUUUCAACAACGGAUCUCUUGGUUCUGGCAUCGAUGAAGAACGCAGCGAAAUGCGAUAAGUAGUGUGAAUUGCAGAAUUCAGUGAAUCAUCGAAUCUUUGAACGCACAUUGCGCCCUUUGGUAUUCCAAAGGGCAUGCCUGUUCGAGCGUCAUUUGUACCCUCAAGCUUUGCUUGGUGUUGGGCGUCUUGUCUCUAGCUUUGCUGGAGACUCGCCUUAAAGUAAUUGGCAGCCGGCCUACUGGUUUCGGAGCGCAGCACAAGUCGCACUCUCUAUCAGCAAAGGUCUAGCAUCCAUUAAGCCUUUUUUUCAACUUUUGACCUCGGAUCAGGUAGGGAUACCCGCUGAACUUAAGCAUAUCAAUAAGCGGAGGAA